CAGUAGCCGCGGGAAAACGGAGGGGGCUAGCGUUGUUCGGAAUUACUGGGCGUAAAGCGCACGUAGGCGGCUUGGUAAGUUAGAGGUGAAAGCCUGGAGCUCAACUCCAGAAUUGCCUUUAAGACUGCCGAGCUAGCAGGUGAGAGAGGUAAGUGGAAUUCCGAGUGUAGAGGUGAAAUUCGUAGAUAUUCGGAAGAACACCAGUGGCGAAGGCGGCUUACUGGCUCAUACUGGACGCUGAGGUGCGAAAGCGUGGGGAGCAAACAGGAUUAGAUACCCGCGUAGUCCCUGUCUCUUAUAC
rnacentral:rRNA from 1 species